UGGCAUAUACCCUUAAAAAUUACUUUAGAGACUAUGAGUUAGUUUAGAUCAAAUUCCCAAAGAAAGAGUUGUACAAUGAUUCCUUUAGCCCUCUCUAAGUUUUAAUUUGUUAAUUGUAUCAAGUUUUCAUGUAUGUUUUCUCUUUGCAGCUAGUUACAUCUCUAAUAUGUUAUGCUGAGGAAUUUGUUUGUGUCUUUCCUAUUUUUUUUUACCUGCUAAAUCUGUUCUUCUUCUAAUUCCCUAUAUUUUUUUUCAUUUUUUUCAUGACAAUGGAGCACAAAGAGUCUCGUUUGAGACUCAACCUCAUCAUCGCUAUACCCGAAGAUGGCAUCUUUCUCUUCGCUGUCACUCAUCUACUGCUCUUGUUCCUUUUUAUUACUUCUAAACAGAAACGGAAGUGAUAAUAACAGAGCUUCUGGAGUCUUAUCCAUUUCUUCCACUCUCUCCCAUCUGAAAAAAUAUAAAGCGAGAAUGGACGAGACGCUUCUAUAUCUUACUUCUAUCUCUUACUCCUUUAUUUUGUUUGCCAUUAAUUAUGUUAUGAAGUUUGCUACUUAUCUGUUUUUAUUAUAUUCUUAUUUUAAUUUCUUUUGAUUUCAUCGAUAAAGAAUCAGGCCUAGAACACUUGAACCUUAGAAAGGG
rnacentral:lncRNA from 1 species